GACGAACGCUGGCGGCGUGCCUAACACAUGCAAGUCGAGCGAAUGAAGUUCCUUCGGGAAUGGAUUUAGCGGCGGACGGGUGAGUAACACGUGGGCAACCUGCCUCAUAGAGGGGAAUAGCCUUCCGAAAGGGAGAUUAAUACCGCAUAAGAUUGUAGUAUCGCAUGAUACAGCAAUUAAAGGAGCAAUCCGCUAUGAGAUGGGCCCGCGGCGCAUUAGCUAGUUGGUGAGGUAACGGCUCACCAAGGCGACGAUGCGUAGCCGACCUGAGAGGGUGAUCGGACACAUUGGGACUGAGACACGGCCCAGACUCCUACGGGAGGCAGCAGUGGGGAAUAUUGCACAAUGGGGGAAACCCUGAUGCAGCAACGCCGCGUGAGUGAUGACGGCCUUCGGGUUGUAAAGCUCUGUCUUCAGGGACGAUAAUGACGGUACCUGAGGAGGAAGCCACGGCUAACUACGUG
rnacentral:rRNA from 1 species